ACUAUUUGAGGUGGUAAAUUUCGUAGCGACCACACGCCGAUGGUACGACAGGGGCAACCCGAGAGAUGCAGGAGGAUGCUACGCCUGCCAAAUGGU
rnacentral:ncRNA from 12 species